GAUGAACGCUGGCGGCGUGCCUAAUACAUGCCAGUCGAGCGAACAGACGAGGAGCUUGCUCCUCUGACGUUAGCGGCGGACGGGUGAGUAACACGUGUAUAACCUACCUAUAAGACUGGUAUAACUUCGGGAAACCGGAGCUAAUACCGGAUAAUAUAUUGAACCGCAUGGUUCAAUAGUGAAAUACGGUUUUGCUGUCACUUAUAGAUGGAUCCGCGCCGCAUUAGCUAGUUGGUAAGGUAACGGCUUACCAAGGCAACGAGGCGUAGCCGACCGGAGAGAGUGGUCGGCCACCCUGGAAGUGAGACACGGUCCAGACUACUACGGGAGGCAGCAGUAGGGAAUCUUCCGCAAUGGGCGAAAGCCUGACGGAGCAACGCCGCGUGAGUGAUGAAGGUCUUCGGAUCGUAAAACUCUGUUAUUAGGGAAGAACAAAUGUGUAAGUAACUAUGCACGUAUUGACGGUACCUAAUCAGAAAGCAACGGCUAACUACGUG
rnacentral:rRNA from 1 species